rnacentral:rRNA from 1 species
GAUUAUGGCUCAGGAUGAACGCUAGCGGCAGGCUUAACACAUGCAAGUCGAGGGGCAUCGGGAGUAGCAAUACUUGCCGGCGACCGGCGCAAGGGUGCGUAACGCGUGAGCAACAUGCCCGUAUCAGGGGGAUAAUCCAUGGAAACGUGGUCUAAUACCCCAUAGUAAUUAUGUAAGGCAUCUUAUAUAAUUUAAAGCUUUGGUGGAUACGGAUUGGCUCGCGUGACAUUAGCUGGAUGGUAAGGUAACGGCUUACCAUGGCUACGAUGUCUAGGGGUUCUGAGAGGAAGGUCCCCCACACUGGAACUGAGACACGGUCCAGACUCCUACGGGAGGCAGCAGUGAGGAAUAUUGGACAAUGGAUGGAAAUCUGAUCCAGCCAUGCCGCGUGCCAGGAAGACGGCCCUAUGGGUUGUAAACUGCUUUUGUAUGGGAGCAAUAAGGGCUACGUGUAGUCCGAUGAGAGUACCAUACGAAUAAGCACCGGCUAACUCCGUGCCAGCAGCGGC